UGGGGAAUAUUGCGCAAUGGGGGAAACCCUGACGCAGCGACGCCGCGUGCGGGAUGAAGGCCUUCGGGUUGUAAACCGCUUUUGAUUGGGAGCAAGCCUUUUGGGUGAGUGUACCUUUCGAAUAAGCGCCGGCUAACUACGUGCCAGCAGCCGCGGUAAUACGUAGGGCGCAAGCGUUAUCCGUAAUUAUUGGGCGUAAAGAGCUUGUAGGCGGUUCGUCACGUCCGGUGUGAAAGGCCAUCGCUUAACGGUGGGUUUGCGCCGGGUACGGGCGGGCUAGAGUGCAGUAGUGGGGACUGGAAUUCCCGGUGUAACGGUGGAAUGUGUAGAUAUCGGGAAGAAAACCAAUGGCGAAGGCAGGUCUCUGGGCUGUUACUGACGCUGAGAAGCGAAAGCGUGGGGAGCGAACAGG
rnacentral:rRNA from 1 species